rnacentral:rRNA from 1 species
GAUGAACGCUGGCGGCGUGCCUAAUACAUGCAAGUCGAGCGAACAGACGAGGAGCUUGCUCCUCUGACGUUAGCGGCGGACGGGUGAGUAACACGUGGAUAACCUACCUAUAAGACUGGGAUAACUUCGGGAAACCGGAGCUAAUACCGGAUAAUAUAUUGAACCGCAUGGUUCAAUAGUGAAAGACGGUUUUGCUGUCACUUAUAGAUGGAUCCGCGCCGCAUUAGCUAGUUGGUAAGGUAACGGCUUACCAAGGCAACGAUGCGUAGCCGACCUGAGAGGGUGAUCGGCCACACUGGAACUGAGACACGGGCCAGACUCCUACGGAAGGCAGCAGUAGGGAAUCUUCCGCAAUGGGCGAAAGCUUGACGGAGCAACGCGGCGUGAGUGAUGAAGGUCUUCGGAUCGUAAAACUCUGUUAUUAGGAAAGAACAAAUGUGUAAGUAACUAUGCACGUCUUGACGGUACCUAAUCAGAAAGCCGCGCUAACUACGUG